UCGAACGGGAUUGAGAAGCUUGCUUUUCAUGAGAGUGGCGCACGGGUGCGUAACACGUAUGUAACCUACCUUAAUCUGGGGGAUAGCCUCUCGAAAGAGAGAUUAACACCGCAUAACAUUACCGGAUAGCAUUUUCUGGUAAUCAAAUAUUUAUAGGAUUAAGAUGGGCAUGCGGAACAUUAGCUAGUUGGUAAGGUAAUGGCUUACCAAGGCUACGAUGUUUAGGGGAUCUGAGAGGAUGACCCCCCACACUGGUACUGAGACACGGACCAGACUCCUACGGGAGGCAGCAGUAAGGAAUAUUGGUCAAUGGGCGCAAGCCUGAACCAGCCAUGCCGCGUGCAGGAAGACGGCCCUACGGGUUGUAAACUGCUUUUGUAUCGGAAUAAACCUUUUCACGUGUGAGAAGCUGAAUGUACGGUAAGAAUAAGGAUCGGCUAACUCCGUGCCAGCAGCCGCG
rnacentral:rRNA from 1 species